AUGGAUUUCUGGUUCAUUCAUUUUCUUCUUGGCAGUGGUCUGAUAUGUGUCGAUGCCUUAAUGCUACCACAGUUUCGCCUUCAGUGCAAGGUACAAGAUCAACAAAAGCAUCAACAACAGCACCAAUUAAAGAAGAGACCAAAACUUCAAAUCCAAAUUCAUCAGUAACUUCUCUUUCUGUGGCCACAACAUUCAGCCCAAAUCUAACUCUGGGCCCCACCUUUGUCACCACUGUGAAUUCUUCAGACUCUGACAAUGGGACCGCACGAACAGCAAGCACCUAUUCUAGAAUUACUACAGUUUCACCAAAUGGGACCUGGCUUCCAGGUAGCCCAGUCACAGAUGUCGGAACAGAUUCAUGGGAGGGGAAUUCCUGCACUGCAGCAACCACUCCAGAAACCUUUCCUCCUUCAGAUGAGACGACAGUUAUCGCAGUGAUGGUGGCCCUGCCCUCUCUGCUGGUCAUUGUGUUUAUUAUCAUAGUUCUGUACAUGUUAAGGUUUAAGAUAUACAAGCAAGCUGGGAGCCAUUCCAAUUCUUUCCGCUUAUCUAAUGGCCAAACAGUGGAUGUGGAGGCCCAGAGUGUGCCACUUCUAGCCAGGUCCCCAAGUACCAACAGGAAGUACCCACCCCUGCCUGUGGACAAACUGGAGGAGGAAAUUAACCGGAGAAUGGCUGAUGACAGUAAGCUCUUCAGAGAGGAAUUCAAUGUUCUUCCUGCUUGUCCUAUCCAGGCCACCUGUGAGGCUGCCUCCAAGGAAAAAAACUGUUAUGUGAACAUCUUGCCUUAUGACCACUCUAGAGUACACCUGACACCAGUUGAAGGUGUUCCAGAUUCUGAUUAUAUCAAUGCUCCAUUCAUCAAUGGCUACCAAGAAAAGAACAAAUUCAUUGCUGCACAAGGACCAAAAGAAGACACAGUGAAUGAUUUCUGGAGGAUGAUCUGGGAACAAAACACAGCCACAAUAGUCAUGGUGACCAGUCUGAAGGAGAGAAAAGAAUGUAAGUGUGCCCAAUACUGGCUAGACCAAGGCUGCUGGACCUAUGGGAAUAUCCGUGUGUCAGUAGAAGAUGUGACUGUCCUGGUAGACUACGCAGUCCGAAAGUUCUGCAUCCAGCAGGUGGGCGACGUGACCAACAGAAAACCACAGCUCCUCAUCACACAGUUCCACUUUACCAGCUGGCCAGACUUUGGGGUGCCUUUCACCCCUUUUGGCAUGCUUAAGUUUCUCAAGAAGAUGCAGUAUGUCUUCAUAUACCAAGCCCUUCUGGAACAUUAUCUCUAUGGGGAUACAGAACUGGAAGUAACCUCUCUAGAAACCCACCUGCAGAAAAUUUACAACAAAAUCCCAGGGACCAGCAACAGUGGAUUAGAGGAAGAGUUUAAGAAGUUAACGUCAAUCAAAAUCCAGAAUGACAAGAUGCGGAAUGGAAACCUUCCAGGCAACAUGAAGAUCAUUACAGAUCAUUCCAUAUGAAUUCAACAGAGUGAUCAUUCCAGUAAAGAGAGGUGAGGAGAACACAGACUAUGUGAACGCAUCCUUCAUUGAUGGGUACCAGCAGAAGGACUCCUAUAUCGCCAGCCAGGGUCCCCUUCUUCACACAAUUGAGGACUUUUGGUGAAUGAUCUGGGAGUGGAAAUCCUGCUCCAUUGUGAUGCUCACAGAACUGGAGGAGAGAGGCCAGGAGACGUGUGCCCAGUACUGGCCAUCGGAUGGAUUGGUGUCCUAUGGAGACAUCACAGCAGAGCUGAAGAAAGAGGAGGAAUGUGAGAGCUAUACUGUCCGAGACCUUCUGGUCACUAACACCAGGGAGAACAAGAGCCAGCAGAUCCGGCAGUUCCACUUCCACGGCUGGCCUGAAGUGGACAUCCCCAGUGAUGGGAAGGGCAUGAUCAGCAUCAUUGCAGCUGUGCAAAAGCAGCAGCGGCAGUCAGGAAACCACCCCAUCACCACUCCGGAAGGACGGGGACCUUCUGUGCCCUGAGCACAGUCCUGGAGCCGGUGAAGGCAGAGAGGAUUUUGGAUGUUUUCCAGACCCUCAAGAGCUUGCGGCUGCAGAGGCCAUACAUGGUCCAGACACUGGAACAGUAUGAGUUCUGCUACAAGGUGGUACAGGAGUAUAUUGAUGCAUUCUCAGAUUAUGCCAACUUUAAGUAA